rnacentral:rRNA from 1 species
GAUGAACGCUGGCGGCGUGCCUAAUUCAUGCAAGUCGAGCGAACAGACGAGGAGCUUGCUCCUCUGACGUUAGCGGCGGACGGGUGAGUAACACGUGGAUAACCUACCUAUAAGACUGGGAUAACUUCGGGAAACCGGAGCUAAUACCGGAUAAUAUAUUGAACCGCAGGGUGCAAUAGUAAAAUACGGUUUUGCGGGAACUGAUAGAUGGAUCCGCGCCGCAUUAGCUAGUUGGUAAGGUAACGGCUUACCAAGGCAACGAUGCGUAGCCGACCUGAGAGGGUGAUCGGCCACACUGGAACUGAGACACGGUCCAGACUCCUACGGGAGGCAGCAGUCGCGAAUCUUCCGCAAUGGGCGAAAGCUUGACGGAGCAACGCCGCGUGAGUGACGACGGUCUUCGGAUCGUAAAACUCUGUUAUGAGGGAAGAACAAAUGUGUAAGUAACCAUGCCCGUCUUGACGGUACCUAAUCAGAAAGCCACGGCUAACUACGUG